GUACUCCAUCUCACGUCAGUCAUGAGAGGUUGUUCAUGUAGACGAUGUGGACCUUCAUCUUCAUGAUUUCAUCAUUACGUUGGAAAAAGAUAUGGCGACCACGUUACGAGGUGUCGGGUAACGACUAACGAGAGGCGAUUUACCGGUUUACAAUUAAUGCUGUAUCAAAACAGCAGUACAAAGCCCCGUGAAAUGUGGAUUGUGGUCGGGGAGAAGAACAGUUUUCCACAGUUAAACUGUAAUAUUUGGAUUGCACAGUCUGGAAUAAAUUGUUGGUGGUGGUGAUUGUUGUGAAAAAACUAUUGCCGUUGAGUACUGUAAGAUGUGGUACUACACAUCGACAAGCUGUGCUGCUCAUCAGUUUGAACAGUUGAUUGCAGUUUUUCCACUACUGAAUUUGAAAAGGCCCUUUGUCAAGAGAAAAAUCCAAUCUAAAACAAGAAAUUGAGACAGGCACCAGCCAAUCCUUUCUGGAAUUUUGCUAUGGACGUCUUUCAAAUGAUCGUCAAUGUUAAGAAAGGAGAAGAAUCUGAACCCAAAGUAAAGCUUGAAGAACCAUCUACUACCGAUAUACCAAUAACCAACGGAACUUAUUCCAUGCACUCCAAGACGGCAUUAUUAUGGCGUGCUCUUGCAGACUCAUGACAAUGACUUACGACGGUUCUGGUGGAGUCAUCAAGGAGGAAAGCAGUGGUAACCCUCACCAAAUCAAAAUCCUUCACCAACCGACAUCAUUUUCAAGUUUGGCAUGAGAGGCCGACAUAUGUUUGCGGUCUGUAAGAGCAUGGCGUCAGAGAAGAGACAUCGCAAAUGUUACUUUUUCAAGUUCACUUUAGCAAACCUUUAUUACUUCCAUAUCCCAGACCCAGAGCAAUGGCCCAAAAUACCAGCAGAUCUAGAAACCCAAAGUUGAUGAAAUUUGUCUCUAGGAUUAAUUGAGUUCUACAGUAUCACAACGAAAAGCAUCUAGCACGAUGUCGUUUAAGACUUCCCAUUGGCCAGACCUCUGUUCAGAAUGUCUCGGAUUUCCGCGCAAACGACAUCAAAUCGUUGAGUGAAUUAUCUUUGAAAGUUUGAACCCUCUGUGCAUGUCUCGCUGAGAAGAAAUGGUGACCAAAGCCGGCAACCUAGGCAUAGACAGUCUAAUCGGACAAGGAAUUCACCCCAUCUCGUCCACGAUUGCGUAAACGCAAGUUACUAUUAGCAUUACAACAAGACGAACGAAAAAGCUCCUGCUAAUACGACCACCUCAUCUUUCUCGACUUGAGGGCCACUAGAUACGUUGGGACUGGAGGUAAACCGAAAUCUAAGACCAUGAAGAAACUCAAUGCUCAUUCCUAAUAGCAAUUGCGCUCACUACGUAAUUCUCUAACCCAUCACUAAAGAACACCACUCCUGCAACACCACUCCUGCAACAAACUAAUGUUGUUCAACUCGAUUGGUGUUUACGCAGCCGGAACAACUGGAAUUCCCAUGGGUCGGCGUAUUCAUCACCAUUCAUUCACCACCAUAAAUGGUAAAACAUAUUUUAGGUUGAUCGCGCAAUAAUAAGUUCAGCUUCGGGACUCCUCCCUAGCUGUACUAAUUGGAGUAAUUGCUCUCCUUGCCUCCGCAACUCCAAUCAAUGUCUUCUGGAGAAUACCGUAUCGCUUCACUGAGAUGUAUAUACUUUGACAUUCCAAUGGCAAACUUGAAGGGAAAUGUGACGAUUCGAACGUUGUGAUUCGUUCACAGGACAAAGAAAUAUUAACGUUACCUCCGCAGUUUGAAGCAUUUUUACCUGUAGAAUUUUGAUCCCAAUUCUCAGCGGGUAGACUGGCGGUGGUUUGGUCAACUAAACGGCGGCUAAGCACGUCCGGAUGAUAAUCAGAUGUUGCUGGAUGAAUGAGACGCUGUGACCAUCUCCGAAUUCGUUAGGUUGUGUUCAGGGUUAACAGCCAGGUGAAAUCUCUUCUUCAUUACUGUCCAACACAACAUAUGGUUUUUGGCGGUUUUUGGUUGCGGCUAGCCGGUGAAAGGUGUCGUCAAAAGUUCAGCUGUUGCAUGGAGUCUGUGAUACUGGUAUUAUCCUGGAGUGGGUUGGUGUUCUGACAAAUAUUGUUCUGCUUGUUUGUGGUUAGUGUAUUGUUUGAUGUAGUCUAUGAUGUAGACUAUGAUGUAGACACGUGCAUAUCUGGGCUUCCUUCUGUGGCCCCGUUUACUUAACUAACCAUUAACCAACGCCAGCCGGUUGUCACUCACCUGCUGUGAAACUAGGAGAAGGGCUCUGGUGAAACGGGGACUAGGAUAGCGCGUGAUCUGAUGAAAACUUUUGUAGAGUUAUGAGUGUAACCCGGAAGUCUACUAUAUCUAAUUGCUCCCUAGUAAAACUGGCCUCGCACUCUUCUUCCUUGUUCAGGUAAUCUCCCUGAGCACAAUUAAACAAGGCAUAGUCUCCCCUGUCUUGAUUGACUAAAUUGGGCAAGGAAAUUUCAUAUUGAUAAAAUUAAUGCAAUGAUGGUAAAAUAUAAAUGUGUACGAUGAGGGAUGAUAAACAUAUGUACAAAAAAAUGUCAAUAAGAUUGUAAACAGUUAUUUUUCUUUACAGUGCUGUGUAGUGUAUAAAUAUCGAAAUAUCCCAACACAUGAUCUGUUGCUUUCUUCA